UACAGAGGUCUCAAGCGUUGUUCGGAUUCAUUGGGCGUAAAGGGUGCGUAGGUGGCGAGGUUAGUCAGGUGUGAAAUCUCGGGGCUCAACCCCGAAACUGCACUUGAUACUGCCUUGCUAGAGUACUGGAGAGGAGAUUGGAAUUUACGGUGUAGCAGUGAAAUGCGUAGAUAUCGUAAGGAAGACCAGUGGCGAAGGCGAAUCUCUGGACAGUUACUGACACUGAGGCACGGAAAGCGUGGGGAGCAAACAGG
rnacentral:rRNA from 1 species